rnacentral:tRNA from 1 species
AAAAGAUUAGUUAAAUCCUUAUAACAUAAAUAUGUCAAAUUUAAAUUAUUACAAUAAAGUAAUAUCUUUUU